rnacentral:lncRNA from 1 species
GAAAGAAUAGAUUCCACAGGUGUGACUCAUAAAAGGUCUUCAAAAGGGGAGAGAGCCUAGCAGGGAUACGAGAGAAGCAUCUUUUCCUUGUAUCCAUCCUGAGCCCAUUGGGCCCCCUGAAUCAAAUGGAAGCCUGUGUUGAUCAGUCACUGUGAUGGAGGAUCUGAGAGGGGUUGUGACCCACAGGAUGAGAACCAAUAGUCUAGCUGGAGCCAAUCAUCAGAUGACUUAGAGAAGGUCCCCAAGCCUGGGCUCAUCUGCCGCAUCUAAGCUUUAAGAUGCAGCCUCUGAAAGGAUCAGGGAGAGCCAGGACAAGGCCACUUGAGCAAGCCCCUUAGACAGCUGCUCUCUUCCGCGUGUCUACAGCAAGGCCAAAGCCUCCAGAUGAACCAUGAAAAAGUCAUCUCUUCAUCUGGGGUGGAUGAUGCCAAACAUCUGGAUGUUAUAUACUACACAUGCACACUCAGGAGAGCGACCUGUGGGACUGGAACUGACAUUUGCAGGUGACCGUGAAGCUGUCCUCAGAUUCUUUGUGAUCACAGGACCCAACAGUGGAAGAAAUUCCUGAAGCUAAUGUCUGCAGGCCCUGGUGGCCUAUGCUUUGGAAAACGCAUACCUCUGCACCUGUAGCUUGGUUCUACACACAAAUAAAU